rnacentral:rRNA from 1 species
GACGAACGCUGGCGGCGUGCCUAAUACAUGCAAGUCGAACGCAGUUGAGACGGGUGAGUAACACGUUGGUAACCUCCCCAUCAGCGGGGAUAACACGUGGAAACAGGUGCUAAACCGAUACUGAUGGAUGGACCCGAGGUGCAUUAGCUAGUGGGUGAGGUAACGGCUCACCAAGGCCACGAUGCAUAGACGGCCUGAGAGGGUGAUCGGCCACACUGGGACUGAGACACGGCCCAGACUCCUACGUGAGGCAGCAGUAGGGAAUCUUCGGCAAUGGACGAAAGUCUGACCGAGCAACGCCGCUUGAGUGAAGAAGGUUUGCGGAUCGUAAAACUCUGUUGUUAGAGAAGCGGUAUCUAACCAGAAAGCCACGGCUAACUACGUGCCAGCAGCCGCGGUAAUUC